AAUGAACGUUGGCGGCAUGGAUUAGGCUUGCAAGUCGGGGGAAUCCCAGCAAUGGGGGAACCGGCGUAAGGGGCAGUAAGGCAUGGGUACCUACCUUGGGGUUCGGGAUAGCCAUCAGAGAUGGUGGGUAAUACCGGAUGACGUCGUGAGACCAAAGAUUUAUCGCCCUUAGAGGGCCCAUGUGAUAUUAGCUAGUUGGUGGGGUAACGGCCCACCAAGGCGAAGAUGUCUAGCGGGUGUGAGAGCACGACCCGCGCCACUCGCACUGAGACACUGGCGAGACACCUACGGGUGGCUGCAGUCGAGGAUCUUCGGCAAUGAGCGCAAGCUUGACCGAGCGAUGCCGCGUGAGCGAUGAAGGCCUUCGGGUUGUAAAGCUCUUUAGUGGGGGAGAAAAGCCGCAAGGUGUGAUCUAUCCCAAAAAUAAGCACGGGCUAAGUUCGUGCCAGCCGCCGCGGUAA
rnacentral:rRNA from 1 species